GAUACCCUAUUAUUAUAAAUGUUAAUUUUCUACCUAGAUUAUUAAGAGUUAAGUUCUUCAAAAUCAAAAAAUUUGGCGGUAUUUUAGUCUGUUCAGAGGAACUUGUUUCUUGAUUGAUAAUCCACGAUAAUUUUUACUUUAACUUUAAAUUUAUAUAUCGUCGUUUAUAAAAAUUUUAAGAGGAUUAUAAUUUUUGGAAUUUUCAAUUAAAUUAAAUUUCAGAUCAAGGUGUAGUUUAUGUUAAAGUUGAAAUGAGUUACAUUAAAUUUAUUUUUGGUAUUUUAUUUUAAAAGUAGGAUUAAAUUGGAUUUGAUAGUAAAUUUUUUAUUUAUGAAAAUUGAUUUAGCUCUAAAAUAUGCACACAUCGCC
rnacentral:rRNA from 1 species